rnacentral:tRNA from 1 species
GAGGGUAUAGGUCAGCAGUAGAGCAUGUGUUUAGCAUACACGAGGUCCUGGGUUCAAUCCCUAGUACCUCCA